rnacentral:rRNA from 1 species
CCUACGGGAGACUGCAGUGAGGAAUAUUGGUCAAUGGACGUGAGUCUGAACCAGCCAAGUAGCGUGAAGGAUGACUGCCCUAUGGGUUGUAAACUUCUUUUAUAUGGGAAUAAAAUGUUCCACGUGUGGGAUUUUGUAUGUACCAUAUGAAUAAGGAUCGGCUAACUCCGUGCCAGCAGCCGCGGUAAUACGGAGGAUCCGAGCGUUAUCCGGAUUUAUUGGGUUUAAAGGGAGCGUAGGUGGAUUGUUAAGUCAGUUGUGAAAGUUUGCGGCUCAACCGUAAAAUUGCGGUUGAAACUGGCAGUCUUGAGGAAAGUAGAGGUGGGCGGAAUUGGGGGUGUAGCGGUGAAAUGCUUAGAUAUCACGAAGAACUCCGAUUGCGAAGGCAGAUAACGGGACGGGAACGGACACUGAGGCUCGAAAGUGUGGGUAUCAAACAGGAUUAGAUACCCUUGUAGU